GCCAGCUUUGUGUAGUGGUUUGAGGAUUGGACUAUAACUCUGGAGACCAGGGUUCAAAUCCCAGCUUGGGCA